rnacentral:rRNA from 1 species
UGGGGAAUUUUGGACAAUGGGCGCAAGCCUGAUCCAGCCAUGCCGCGUGAGUGAAGAAGGCCUUCGGGUUGUAAAGCUCUUUCAGACGGAAAGAAAUCUCUUGGGCGAAUACCCUGGGAGGAUGACGGUACCGUAAGAAGAAGCACCGGCUAACUACGUGCCAGCAGCCGCGGUAAUACGUAGGGUGCGAGCGUUAAUCGGAAUUACUGGGCGUAAGGCGUGCGCAGGCGGUUAUAUAAGACAGAUGUGAAAUCCCCGGGCUCAACCUGGGACCUGCAUUUGUGACUGUAUAGCUAGAGUACGGUAGAGGGGGAUGGAAUUCCGCGUGUAGCAGUGAAAUGCGUAGAUAUGCGGAGGAACACCGAUGGCGAAGGCAGCCUCCUGGGCCAGUACUGACGCUCAUGCACGAAAACGUGGGGAGCAAACA